rnacentral:rRNA from 1 species
CGCGGUAAUACGUAGGGUGCAAGCGUUAAUCGGAAUUACUGGGCGUAAAGCGUGCGCAGGCGGUUAUAUAAGUCAGAUGUGAAAUCCCCGGGCUCAACCUGGGAACUGCAUUUGAGACUGUAUGGCUAGAGCGUGUCAGAGGGGGGUAGAAUUCCACGUGUAGCAGUGAAAUGCGUAGAUAUGUGGAGGAAUACCGAUGGCGAAGGCAGCCCCCUGGGAUAACACUGACGCUCAUGCACGAAAGCGUGGGGAGCAAACAGGAUUAGAUACCCUGGUAGUCCACGCCCUAAACGAUGUCUACUAGUUGUCGGGUCUUAAUUGACUUGGUAACGCAGCUAACGCG